CCUCCCUGCUGCAGGAAGAGAAUCUAGGUCACAGAUCCUCUCUGAGAACAAGUACAUCUGAUGCUGCCAAGGGAAACAAACUGGCAGGAGAAAGGGGAAUAGACUGGCUUGAAAGCAACAGGAGAAUGGAGAGAAGUAACUCAGUGAUUGAAACGAGGAUACUCUGGGGAAGGAGACAAAAUACUUCACAGACCACAGUGAAGGGAAGGCCAUCUAUCAAAAAACAUCAGUCAAUAUGAACAUUUUGCAAGUUGCAACAAGCAGGGACAGGAAGAUACACAGUGAAACAAAAUACCAUAAAACAGCUUCAUCAGCUAAACUUCAAAUGAAACUGAAAAUAUUUUGCAUCCUGCUGCCUGCACUGUGGAUGAGACUAAUCUUCUACUGGAAUAAAGUUGAUGUUUACUUUUCAAAGCAGAUAAUGUAUUUACUGUCCCAGAAAAAGUUUCUGUUAUUCCAUGUGGAAAACCUUGCUUAGGCCUGGGAAGCAUAGGCUCCAGAGCAACAACUGGAAGAAAAACAUGUGGAGGGCUCAGAAGAUGCGUGUUCUCACUGCAAAGAAAAUAAAGUCCCCUGACUUCAUAGUGUAACAUGGAAACUUCUCAAUACCAAGCUAUUUGACCAAUAAACAACCCAUAUUGGACACCUUGGUGGCACCAAAUUCCAAAUGGUAAGCUUUUUUUCAUACUAUGUAUCUAUGUAGAUAGAACUGACCCUAAUUAAAGUAAAACUAAUCUGUCUAAUGGCUGCAUUAUAUGACUAAUAUCUGGGAAGAAGUCUUCUUCUGCUGUUUCCCUACAGUGUGGGCUAGAAACCUUAAAGCCUAGAAAUUAAUUGAGGAAUGGAUCUAGAAAAAUGGAUCUCUGCUUUAUGGCCAUCUGAGAAGCAUGGAUAAGGGGAAAGUGUAAGUGCAGGAAUACAACACAAGAAUCUAAAGUCCAAACACCUCGGAGGCAGAAGAUCAUCACUGAGCGCCGCUCCUCCAGACGGAUGGUGGUGCCCUUGGCAGAGAAGGAAAUGAAUGCCAGUGGUGUGGAGUGGACAGGAGGUAUCUGUGAAGAAACAGGAAAACACGAGGAGGAUUGCUCUGAUGGACACUGUCUCGUUGAGGUUAAGGAACUGCAGGCAAACCUGACCUGGAGAGUCAUUUUGGAGGACAGCAGGCACCAUCAGGACAUACUGCCUGUGAAAUCCAAACAUCACAGUGAUCACAUUCAUAGGUAAGGGAGAAACAGCCUCAACAGGAUAAAGUGAACACCAAUUACUUUAGAUUAAAUAGGACACACUGCCAGUGCUUCUCACUCUUUCUCAGCUCUGAACCAGCCCAGUCCUGGUACUGCCCACAGCUCCCAGCUCUUGCCCUUUUGCCCUUUAUCUGAGCCCUGGGCCCUCCUGGUUUUGGCAAAGCACCCUGCUGUCACUACUGCUAGUGCCUUUUCUGGACACACGUCAACUUCCAUGGAAGUUCUGCAAUAGGUGAAGGUCAGAUAGUAUUAAAUGAGAACGAUUCACUUGCCAUCCCCAUUCCACUUUAGCUCUCCAGAUAUAAAAUAUGAGCCCUGGAUUGUUAAAUUUUUAGAGAAAAAUUAAUAAUAUUGAUUAGCACUGUCUUUAAAGCCUUUUCACAAAUUCUAAUAGUAGUAAUAGGGUGGUUCUUACGGCUCAGGCUCCUUUGCAGCUGUUACAUGCCAGAGAAGAAUAGCCAAAAGAAACUUCAGCCACAUUUUUCUCACUGGGAGACAGAAGAAAGAGAUAAGUUCUCUUCCCAUGAAACAAUUCCUUGCCUACUAGUUUAACAGCUCUGCAGCAUUCCUCAUCCAGUGCUCCAGAGGAAAGGAGUUUGCUCUUCAACUCCUCCCUGGCUCCUUCCUUUGAUGUUAGUGCCUUUAUAACUGCAGCAAGGGGUGGAGAUCCCAGUCUAUCCUAUUCCUUGCAAGAACCUCCCCUAACACUACUGCAACCAAAAUUCAACCCACCAUCUCCAGACUGUAACAUUUCACUGCACUUCUCUGAAUGUCUGCACAAAAUACCUUUAGUGGACUUGUUUUCAAGGAAAGGGGCUUUGGGUUUUACACUGAGGCUUGUCACAGAACUGAAAAGCACAAAGUGACGCAAACCCGAGUAAGUCUGUCAAACCAGAUUAACAUUUGAGGGUUAUCCCCAUUGUUCUUGUAAUUUACCCACUGGAUUGACAGUCUAGGUAAAGUAGAGCAAUUUUCUAUACUUUGUCACCAGAUUCUGGCUAAAAUAAUACACUGACCUCUCUUUUCCCUUGCUUCAUAGGUAUUUUGAAAAUUGACUAAGUGGAAAAUAGAGAAGCUAGAAACAGAAAGAGAUCUAAAAAGUCUUAAUUACUUCUACCUUAGCCAUUGAGAACAUGACAGCACCGUGGAAGUUUGAUUUCAUUUCAGCUUGGAAUUAGCCAGUUGCUGGGUCUAUGGGAAUUUGUUAGUUCCCCAGGUUUCCAGUUUUCACACCUGUGUAGAAGCUAAUGGAGUUUUUUAUUAGGGAGAAGGAAGUUCUUUUGUUCUUCUGUACUCUGAAGAGAAAACAAAGCACUCAGGUGGGCUGCUCGCCACAAGAAAAACAAUGCUGGAGAGCAGUUAUUUGAAAACUCUAAAUAAUUUUUUUCAAUUAAUAUUGGUACUGGGUCUGUCUGUCAUGAGGUUAUGAAGUCAGCUUUCUCCACAGCAGCCUGCUGUGCUCUGCAUUUGAGGCUAGAACAGUGUUCUUAACUCACCAGUGUUUUGGCUCUUGUUAAAGAGUGCUUGCAGAGUGUCUGGGCUUUCUACCUCCCCCACCUCCCAGCCAAAAGCCAGGGGGCUUGGGGUGGGCAAGGGACUGUGAGAGGCCACAGCCAGGACAGAUGACCCAAACAGGCCAAAGGAAUAUUCUGUACACACCACAUGACACCAUGCUUAGCAAAAACAGGUGGGGGAAAGGAGGAGGAGGGACAUUUGUGGUAAUAGCAUUUGUCUUCUGAAGCAACCACUACCUUUACAGAGGCCUUACUUCUUGGAGUGGCUGGAUAUCUGCCUGCCAAGGGGAAGCAGUGAAUAAGUCCCUCUUUUAGCUUCUCUUUCAUGUGCACCUCCUGCUUUCCUUUUUAAACUGUUGUUACUUCAACUCAUUUGACUAAAUUCUAGUUUCCUUCUUGGGAGUGAGUGAAAGAUUGGGUGGCUGAUUGGCUGCCAGAGAGAUAUGUUUCCAAGGACAGAGUACCUGUAUGGGACCAUGAUUUUCUCUAAUAUCCUGAUAUCUUUUAUGACUUUCUCUUUUAGUUUCUUGCUAGUCUGUGAAAAUUUCUUCAAUAGAAACAUAGGGCACAUAGAGUGGCUAUGACAUGUUCUCCCUUAUGACUUCUAAUUCUUCACAGAAGUAUCAAACCAUGUGGAAGUGGAACAUGCCAGAAGAAGCAGAUGGCUCCCCAGAGGUCUCUCUGUGGCAUGGUGUGGGUGCUUAGAACACAAACAACAGAGUGAGGUUCUGUUCUGAAAGCCCACCUCACUGUUGUUUCUAUUGCAGAGGAUCUCUACAGAUUUUACAGUUGAGGAGCUUCCCUAAGGAUCAGGUAUUAUUUUCUCUGCAAUGGAAUACCCACACCAGCAGCUGCCAAGAACAGAAAUUCACUGACAAGGGCUUGAACUUGAGCUGACAUUGUGGAAAAAGGAGAUGACCAGUACUGCAGGUUCUUGCUUUUCUUGGCUUUCUGAGGCAGUUACAAACUUCUUGCAACUUAUUGCAAGUGUUCAUUCCAAACAAGUCAAUUUGCUAGUCAUCACAAUCCAGAAACUUUCUGAGUCUACUUUUGAGCGUUUAAUCAGAGGUUUGAGUGGGUUAGGUGACAUCCAAAGGUAUACAGAGAAGGGUGGUUGUGUGUAACUUACUGUUAUAACGAGGAGACAUUUUGCCCCAAAUUCAGGCUGGAUUGUGGCUUUGGUCAGAAAGUGCACUGUUGUAUCUCCAAGAACUGGCACUAGUCACGAUGUCUUCUGUGCACAUAUAGCUUCUGAACAGUAACCAAAUGAAGGACAAAGAUUAGCCAUGAAUCCUAUACCCAGGUCAUCCACUGCACUAGUUCAAAACCUCCACUAAUCACAGUGAAGAAGGUGCAUCUGGUAAGGAAAUAAACAAAAAAUGCAAUAAUCUGUAAUAGAGAAGCUAUUGAAUUAAUAGGUUGGCAACCAAACAAGUCUCCUGGAUGAAAAAAAUACCCACUGUAAUCUUAUAACAACAAAGGAAAACAGAGGCCAUCCCAUCUUCUUGGCUAUAGCAUAUAAUAACUUGUCUUCCACAGGAGAGUCAAACAAUGUUCCAUUGGACACAAUAAAAAGGUUGUUUUCAGGGCAAAUUUUUAUGAAACCAUUGACAUUUGUUUUUCAUGAUUUUUUUUAUCAUUAUUAUUUGUUGACUGCAUGUCUUUGCUUUUCAAAUCCUACCCAUUCUUUCUAACUCAACUGCAUAUGUUCAAGAAGCUUGUGAAGAUUGCUCUGUGGGGAAGUCAGAGAGAAGAAACCUCAUCACCAGAUAGAGGCAAAACUUGCACAGGAGUUGUCUUCCUGGGAUUAGAAUUCUGUCAUCUGUAGAUGAUUCAGUUCAAUUGCUGAAAAAGGUUCUACAGAGGCCUGCUGGGUCACCUACCUGUUUCAUAGUAAUCAUAUAUAUGUACAGGCACUGGUUUGAUGUCUGACACAGCCAGGCUUUGCUCCACACCAAAGGAGAAGCUGAUUUCCUUCUGAGAGACCUGGAAAUGGCAAGACAAGAAGAUGCAUCAGAACUUUUCAUAGCUAUCCCUGAGGCUUAGGUUGAACAGAUUCAUUUCUGAAUCAGACUGUGUGACAAUGUGCCAUUCUACAUUUCCCUCCAGUUUCUAAACUUGAUGUUAAAUCAGAUAAUUGUUUAAAGGCUGUUGCUAAAUAUGUUUUGUUGCUAAAAUUGUGCGCUCUUUUCUUUCUUCCUCUUCCUAUUUCCAUUGCCAAUUACCCCAACUUAAUUCCCUGUCAGUGUGGUUUUCAGCACAUCAGCAUUCAUUCUGCAAUCAAAAAUUGCUGUUAGUUUCUUUCUUUGCCUUUUCCCACCUAAAAGCACCUUCAGUACCCAUAAGAAUCUUCUCCCUACUUUUCUCCCUUUAAUUACUUUGAUGGCAUUAUCUCCAUUAUCCCCUGUGAUGUUGGAUUGAAUAAAGUACCUCUUUAAGGCA